rnacentral:rRNA from 1 species
GACAGAGGGUGCAAACGUUGCUCGGAAUUACUGGGCGUAAAGCGCGUGUAGGCUGACCGGAAAGUCGGACGUGGAAGCCCUGGGCUCAACCCAGGAACUGCACUCGAAACUCCCGGUCUAGAGUGGUGGAGAGGGAAGUGGAAUUCCUGGUGUAGCGGUGAAAUGCAUAGAGAUGUGGAGGAACACCGAUGGCGAAGGCAGCCUCCUGGGCCAACACUGACGCUCAUGCACGAAAGCGUGGGGAGCAAACAGG